rnacentral:misc_RNA from 1 species
GAUGAAGAACGCAGCGAAAUGCGAUAAGUAAUGUGAAUUGCAGAAUUCAGUGAAUCAUCGAAUCUUUGAACGCACAUUGCGCCCCUUGGUAUUCCGAGGGGCAUGCCUGUUCGAGCGUCAUUAUAACCCCUCAAGCUCAGCUUGGUGUUGGGGCCUGCCGCACGGGCAGCCCUUAAAAUCAGUGGCGGUGCCAUCUGGCUCUAAGCGUAGUAAUUCUUCUCGCUAUAGAGUCCCGGUGGAUGCUUGCCAUUAACCCCCAAUUUUCUAUGGUUGACCUCGGAUCAGGUAGGGAUACCCGCUGAACUUAAGCAUAUCAAUAAGCGGAGGA